AUAAUGGGUCAGCGACUUAUAUUCUGUAGCAAGGUUAACCGAAUAGGGGAGCCGAAGGGAAACCGAGUCUUAACUGGGCGUUAAGUUGCAGGGUAUAGACCCGAAACCCGGUGAUCUAGCCAUGGGCAGGUUGAAGGUUGGGUAACACUAACUGGAGGACCGAACCGACUAAUGUUGAAAAAUUAGCGGAUGACUUGUGGCUGGGGGUGAAAGGCCAAUCAAACCGGGAGAUAGCUGGUUCUCCCCGAAAGCUAUUUAGGUAGCGCCUCGUGAAUUCAUCUCCGGGGGUAGAGCACUGUUUCGGCAAGGGGGUCAUCCCGACUUACCAACCCGAUGCAAACUGCGAAUACCGGAGAAUGUUAUCACGGGAGACACACGGCGGGUGCUAACGUCCGUCGUGAAGAGGGAAACAACCCAGACCGCCAGCUAAGGUCCCAAAGUCAUGGUUAAGUGGGAAACGAUGUGGGAAGGCCCAGACAGCCAGGAUGUUGGCUUAGAAGCAGCCAUCAUUUAAAGAAAGCGUAAUAGCUCACUGGUCGAGUCGGCCUGCGCGGAAGAUGUAACGGGGCUAAACCAUGCACCGAAGCUGCGGCAGCGACGCUGAUGCGUUGUUGGGUAGGGGAGCGUUCUGUAAGCCUGUGAAGGUGUGCUGUGAGGCAUGCUGGAGGUAUCAGAAGUGCGAAUGCUGACAUAAGUAACGAUAAAGCGGGUGAAAAGCCCGCUCGCCGGAAGACCAAGGGUUCCUGUCCAACGUUAAUCGGGGCAGGGUGAGUCGACCCCUAAGGCGAGGCCGAAAGGCGUAGUCGAUGGGAAACAGGUUAAUAUUCCUGUACUUGGUGUUACUGCGAAGGGGGGACGGAGAAGGCUAUGUUGGCCGGGCGACGGUUGUCCCGGUUUAAGCGUGUAGGCUGGUUUUCCAGGCAAAUCCGGAAAAUCAAGGCUGAGGCGUGAUGACGAGGCACUACGGUGCUGAAGCAACAAAUGCCCUGCUUCCAGGAAAAGCCUCUAAGCAUCAGGUAACAUCAAAUCGUACCCCAAACCGACACAGGUGGUCAGGUAGAGAAUACCAAGGCGCUUGAGAGAACUCGGGUGAAGGAACUAGGCAAAAUGGUGCCGUAACUUCGGGAGAAGGCACGCUGAUAUGUAGGUGAAGUCCCUCGCGGAUGGAGCUGAAAUCAGUCGAAGAUACCAGCUGGCUGCAACUGUUUAUUAAAAACACAGCACUGUGCAAACACGAAAGUGGACGUAUACGGUGUGACGCCUGCCCGGUGC
rnacentral:rRNA from 1 species